GAUGAACGCUGGCGGCGUGCUUAACACAUGCAAGUCGUACGGAAAGGCUCCUGCUUGCAGGGGUACUCGAGUGGCGAACGGGUGAGUAACACGUGGGUGAUCUGCCCUGCACUUCGGGAUAAGCCUGGGAAACUGGGUCUAAUACCGGAUAGGACGAUGGUUUGGAUGCCAUUGUGGAAAGUUUUUCGGUGUGGGAUGAGCUCGCGGCCUAUCAGCUUGUUGGUGGGGUAAUGGCCUACCAAGGCGUCGACGGGUAGCCGGCCUGAGAGGGUGUACGGCCACAUUGGGACUGAGAUACGGCCCAGACUCCUACGGGAGGCAGCAGUGGGGAAUAUUGCACAAUGGGCGCAAGCCUGAUGCAGCGACGCCGCGUGGGGGAUGACGGCCUUCGGGUUGUAAACUCCUUUCGCUAGGGACGAAGCGCAAGUGACGGUACCUGGAGAAGAAGCACCGGCUAACUACGUG
rnacentral:rRNA from 1 species